UUAAUAGAAGCCAAAAUUUGAGGCUUUUCACUGUUAAUGAACAAACUGAUUAUUCCUAUUAAA
rnacentral:tRNA from 1 species